rnacentral:sRNA from 1 species
ACGUACAGGAAGUACGUUCCGGUUCCUGCGCUCCGUCCGCCUUGCGCUCAGGCCGCUCGCUACGAUUUCUUCACAAGUUCUGAGCC